rnacentral:rRNA from 1 species
UACGGGGGGGGCAAGCGUUGUUCGGAAUUACUGGGCGUAAAGGGCUCGUAGGCGGCCAACUAAGUCAGACGUGAAAUCCCUCGGCUUAACCGGGGAACUGCGUCUGAUACUGGAUGGCUUGAGGUUGGGAGAGGGAUGCGGAAUUCCAGGUGUAGCGGUGAAAUGCGUAGAUAUCUGGAGGAACACCGGUGGCGAAGGCGGCAUCCUGGACCAACACUGACGCUCAGGCACGAAAGCGUGGGGAGCAAACAGG